rnacentral:rRNA from 1 species
UACGAAGGGGGCUAGCGUUGCUCGGAAUGACUGGGCGUAAAGGGCGCGUAGGCGGCUUGGCAAGUGGAAGGUGAAAUCCCUCGGCUCAACUGAGGAACUGCCUUCCAGACUGCUUUGCUUGAGUCCGGGAGAGGUGAGUGGAAUUCCCAGUGUAGCGGUGAAAUGCGUAGAUAUUGGGAGGAACACCAGUGGCGAAGGCGGCUCACUGGACCGGAACUGACGCUGAGGCGCGAAAGCGUGGGGAGCAAACGGG